CCGCGAUGCAUCUAGAUCGACGCCAGCAAGACGUAGCCCAGCGCGUCGGCCGCCAUGCCGGCGAUAAUGGCCUGCUUCUCGCCGAAACGUUUGGUGGCGGGACCAGUGACGAAGGCUUGAGCGAGGGCGUGCAAGAUUCCGAAUACCGCAAGCGACAGGCCGAUCAUCGUCGCGCUCCAGCGAAAGCGGUCCUCGCCGAAAAUGACCCAGAGCGCUGCCGGCACCUGUCCUACGAGUUGCAUGAUAAAGAAGACAGUCAUAAGUGCGGCGACGAUAGUCAUGCCCCGCGCCCACCGGAAGGAGCUGACUGGGUUGAAGGCUCUCAAGGGCAUCGGUCGAAUCGGAUCCCGGGCCCCUACUCGAAUUGGCCAACGCGCGGGGAGAGGCGGUUUGCGUAUUGGGCGCUCUUCCGCUUCCUCGCUCACUGACUCGCUGCGCUCGGUCGUUCGGCUGCGGCGAGCGGUAUCAGCUCACUCAAAGGCGGUAAUACGGUUAUCCACAGAAUCAGGGGAUAACGCAGGAAAGAACAUGUGAGCAAAAGGCCAGCAAAAGGCCAGGAACCGUAAAAAGGCCGCGUUGCUGGCGUUUUUCCAUAGGCUCCGCCCCUCUGACGAGCAUCACAAAAAUCGACGCUCAAG
rnacentral:rRNA from 1 species